AAGUCGGCAAAAUGGAUCCGUAACUUCGGGAUAAGGAUUGGCUCUAAGGGUCGGGCUCGCUGGGCCUUGGGGGGAACCUCCUGGAGCAGCAGGGCACUAGCCGGGCAACCGGCCGGCGCCCCGCAGCACCGGGUUGGGGACGCCCUUGGCAGGCUUCGGCCGUCCGGCGGGCGAUUAACGACCAACUUAGAACUGGUACGGACAAGGGGAAU
rnacentral:rRNA from 1 species